AACGAACGCUGGCGGCAGGCUUAACACAUGCAAGUCGAACGCCCUGGCAACAGGGAGUGGCAGACGGGUGAGUAACGCGUGGGAACGUGCCCUUCGGUUCGGAAUAACUCAGGGAAACUUGAGCUAAUACCGGAUACGUGCGAGAGCAGAAAGAUUUAUCGCCGAAGGAUCGGCCCGCGUCCGAUUAGCUAGUUGGUGAGGUAACGGCUCACCAAGGCGACGAUCGGUAGCUGGUCUGAGAGGAUGAUCAGCCACACUGGGACUGAGACACGGCCCAGACUCCUACGGGAGGCAGCAGUGGGGAAUAUUGGACAAUGGGCGCAAGCCUGAUCCAGCCAUGCCGCGUGAGUGAUGAAGGCCCUAGGGUUGUAAAGCUCUUUCGCCAGGGACGAUAAUGACGGUACCUGGAUAAGAAGCCCCGGCUAACUUCGUGCCAGCCGCCGCUGUAA
rnacentral:rRNA from 1 species